rnacentral:rRNA from 1 species
CUGUGAGCUCGAUGAGUAGGGCGGGACACGUGGUAUCCUGUCUGAAUAUGGGGGGACCAUCCUCCAAGGCUAAAUACUCCUGACUGACCGAUAGUGAACCAGUACCGUGAGGGAAAGGCGAAAAGAACCCCGGCGAGGGGAGUGAAAAAGAACCUGAAACCGUGUACGUACAAGCAGUGGGAGCACGCUUAGGCGUGUGACUGCGUACCUUUUGUAUAAUGGGUCAGCGACUUAUAUUCUGUAGCAAGGUUAACCGAAUAGGGGAGCCGAAGGGAAACCGAGUCUUAACUGGGCGUUAAGUUGCAGGGUAUAGACCCGAAACCCGGUGAUCUAGCCAUGGGCAGGUUGAAGGUUGGGUAACACUAACUGGAGGACCGAACCGACUAAUGUUGAAAAAUUAGCGGAUGACUUGUGGCUGGGGGUGAAAGGCCAAUCAAACCGGGAGAUAGCUGGUUCUCCCCGAAAGCUAUUUAGGUAGCGCCUCGUGAAUUCAUCUCCGGGGGUAGAGCACUGUUUCGGCAAGGGGGUCAUCCCGACUUACCAACCCGAUGCAAACUGCGAAUACCGGAGAAUGUUAUCACGGGAGACACACGGCGGGUGCUAACGUCCGUCGUGAAGAGGGAAACAACCCAGACCGCCAGCUAAGGUCCCAAAGUCAUGGUUAAGUGGGAAACGAUGUGGGAAGGCCCAGACAGCCAGGAUGUUGGCUUAGAAGCAGCCAUCAUUUAAAGAAAGCGUAAUAGCUCACUGGUCGAGUCGGCCUGCGCGGAAGAUGUAACGGGGCUAAACCAUGCACCGAAGCUGCGGCAGCGACGCUUAUGCGUUGUUGGGUAGGGGAGCGUUCUGUAAGCCUGCGAAGGUGUGCUGUGAGGCAUGCUGGAGGUAUCAGAAGUGCGAAUGCUGACAUAAGUAACGAUAAAGCGGGUGAAAAGCCCGCUCGCCGGAAGACCAAGGGUUCCUGUCCAACGUUAAUCGGGGCAGGGUGAGUCGACCCCUAAGGCGAGGCCGAAAGGCGUAGUCGAUGGGAAACAGGUUAAUAUUCCUGUACUUGGUGUUACUGCGAAGGGGGGACGGAGAAGGCUAUGUUGGCCGGGCGACGGUUGUCCCGGUUUAAGCGUGUAGGCUGGUUUUCCAGGCAAAUCCGGAAAAUCAAGGCUGAGGCGUGAUGACGAGGCACUACGGUGCUGAAGCAACAAAUGCCCUGCUUCCAGGAAAAGCCUCUAAGCAUCAGGUAACAUCAAAUCGUACCCCAAACCGACACAGGUGGUCAGGUAGAGAAUACCAAGGCGCUUGAGAGAACUCGGGUGAAGGAACUAGGCAAAAUGGUGCCGUAACUUCGGGAGAAGGCACGCUGAUAUGUAGGUGAAGUCCCUCGCGGAUGGAGCUGAAAUCAGUCGAAGAUACCAGCUGGCUGCAACUGUUUAUUAAAAACACAGCACUGUGCAAACACGAAAGUGGACGUAUACGGUGUGACGCCUGCCCGGUGCCGGAAGGUUAAUUGAUGGGGUCAGCGCAAGCGAAGCUCUUGAUCGAAGCCCCGGUAAACGGCGGCCGUAACUAUAACGGUCCUAAGGUAGCGAAAUUCCUUGUCGGGUAAGUUCCGACCUGCACGAAUGGCGUAAUGAUGGCCAGGCUGUCUCCACCCGAGACUCAGUGAAAUUGAACUCGCUGUGAAGAUGCAGUGUACCCGCGGCAAGACGGAAAGACCCCGUGAACCUUUACUAUAGCUUGACACUGAACAUUGAGCCUUGAUGUGUAGGAUAGGUGGGAGGCUUUGAAGUGUGGACGCCAGUCUGCAUGGAGCCGACCUUGAAAUACCACCCUUUAAUGUUUGAUGUUCUAACGUUGACCCGUAAUCCGGGUUGCGGACAGUGUCUGGUGGGUAGUUUGACUGGGGCGGUCUCCUCCUAAAGAGUAACGGAGGAGCACGAAGGUUGGCUAAUCCUGGUCGGACAUCAGGAGGUUAGUGCAAUGGCAUAAGCCAGCUUGACUGCGAGCGUGACGGCGCGAGCAGGUGCGAAAGCAGGUCAUAGUGAUCCGGUGGUUCUGAAUGGAAGGGCCAUCGCUCAACGGAUAAAAGGUACUCCGGGGAUAACAGGCUGAUACCGCCCAAGAGUUCAUAUCGACGGCGGUGUUUGGCACCUCGAUGUCGGCUCAUCACAUCCUGGGGCUGAAGUAGGUCCCAAGGGUAUGGCUGUUCGCCAUUUAAAGUGGUACGCGAGCUGGGUUUAGAACGUCGUGAGACAGUUCGGUCCCUAUCUGCCGUGGGCGCUGGAGAACUGAGGGGGGCUGCUCCUAGUACGAGAGGACCGGAGUGGACGCAUCACUGGUGUUCGGGUUGUCAUGCCAAUGGCACUGCCCGGUAGCUAAAUGCGGAAGAGAUAAGUGCUGAAAGCAUCUAAGCACGAAACUUGCCCCGAGAUGAGUUCUCCCUGACUCCUUGAGAGUCCUGAAGGAACGUUGAAGACGACGACGUUGAUAGGCCGGGUGUGUAAGCGCAGCGAUGCGUUGAGCUAACCGGUACUAAUGAACCGUGAGGCUUAACCUUACAACGCCGAAGCUGUU